UGAUGUUCAGUUCUAUUUCCC
rnacentral:siRNA from 1 species